rnacentral:rRNA from 1 species
GAUCCUGGCUUAGGAUGAACGCUAGCUACAGGCUAACACAUGCAAGUCGAGGGGCAGCAUGAGCUAGCUGCUAAGCUGAUGGCGACCGGCGCACGGGUGAGUAACGCGUAUCCAACUUCCCCUUAGUAGGGCAUAGCCCGGUGAAAAUCGGAUUAAUACCCUAUGUUCUUCACAGCGGACAUCUAACGUGAAGCAAAGGUUCACCGCUAAGGGAUGGGGAUGCGUCUGAUUAGGUAGUCGGCGGGGUAACGGCCCACCGAGCCAUCGAUCAGUAGGGGUUCUGAGAGGAAGGUCCCCCACAUUGGAACUGAGACACGGUCCAAACUCCUACGGGAGGCAGCAGUGAGGAAUAUUGGUCAAUGGUCGAGAGACUGAACCAGCCAAGUAGCGUGCAAGGAUGACGGCCCUAUGGGUUGUAAACUGCUUUUAUGCGGGGAUAAAGUCACCCACGUGUGGGUGUUUGCAGGUACCGCAUGAAUAAGGACCGGCUAAUUCCGUGCCAGCAGCGGC